ACUGAAACACUGGCUCCCAUACGAUCACUGAAGUUAACAAUGUUGGGCUUGGUCAGUACCUACAAGGAUGACGGUUUGCGAAUACCAGGUGCUGUAAGC